rnacentral:tmRNA from 1 species
GGGGUUGUACCGGUUUCGACGGGGGUUUUGAAGCUCUGGGAGCCAUCCGCAGACCGUGGCUGCGUAAAAAAACGGAACCUAAAUAUAAACGCUAACGAAAAUUACGCGUUAGCCGCUUAAGCGGCUUGCCGGCCCGGGGGUGCCUGCCACCUCGGUUUACCGGCAUCAUGAAGGGCGGGGCACUGCUUUCCCAAAGCUUUGCGGGUUAGUGAGUAUGAUGAAGCUACUGAAGUUCUGAGCCCGUCUGCGGGCGCUGAACGGAGGGAAUGAUCAAACGCAGACUAUGAUGGUAGGGCCUGGUGUGAAUAGGCUUUCGGACAGGGGUUCGACUCCCCUCAGCUCCACUA